rnacentral:rRNA from 1 species
UACGGGGGGGGGCAAGCGUUGUUCGGAAUUACUGGGCGUAAAGGCUCGUAGGCGGCCAACUAAGUCAGACGUGAAAUCCCUCGGCUUAACCGGGGAACUGCAUCUGAUACUGGAUGGCUUGAGUUCGGGAGAGGGAUGCGGAAUUCCAGGUGUAGCGGUGAAAUGCGUAGAUAUCUGGAGGAACACCGGUGGCGAAGGCGGUAUCCUGGACCGACACUGACGCUGAGGAGCGAAAGCCAGGGGAGCAAACGGG